GGGGACAGUCACCCUGUCUGGCAGGGCUCCAAGUGCCUGAGAUCUCCUCACCAUGCUCUGGGCUCCCCUCAUUGUCCUGCUGGGGACGUGCUGCACAGGUUCCAGCUCCCAGAAUGUGGUGACUCAGCCGCCCUCAGCAUCAGUGUCCCCAGGAAACACCGUGAAACUCUCCUGCACCAUGAGCAGUGGGACCAGCAUCAGUGGCUACAAUGUGAGGUGGUUCCAACAGAAACCGGGGAAUUCCCCACGAUACCUGCUGAGAUACAAGUCAGAUUCUGACAAACACCAGGGCUCCGGGGUCCCUGCCCGGUUUUCUGGUUCCAAAGACACGUCCAGCAACACCUGCUAUUUGACCAUUUCUGGGGCCCUGGCGGAGGAUGAGGCUGACUAUUACUGUGCUGUGUGGCACAACAGUGCUUGUCACAGUGACACAGUCAGAUGGGGAAGUGAGACAAAAACCUUCUUUGUCUUCCCUUCCACCAGCCUGGGGCUGCUAGUUUUGGAGACUGCAGUUGCCUGA